UACAGAGGGUGCGAGCGUUGUUCGGAAUCAUUGGGCGUAAAGGGCGUGUAGGCGGUGGAGUGUGUCCGGUGUGAAAACCCCUGGCUUAACUAGGGAAUGGCAUUGGAAACUACUCUGCUAGAGUACGAGAGAGGAUGACGGAAUUCCCAGUGUAGAGGUGAAAUUCGUAGAUAUUGGGAGGAACACCAGAGGCGAAGGCGGUCAUCUGGCUCGUUACUGACGCUGAGACGCGAAAGCGUGGGUAGCAAACAGG
rnacentral:rRNA from 1 species